AAGAAGUAGUAAAGCUGGUGAAGCACAUUCCGUCCCGCCCACGGCAUAUGUUUCAUCACAAUAGCUAUAGGAAAAGGCUGCAAAUAGGAGACGACAAAACGCCAAGAAGACAGGAGGAAACUAAGCCAUUUCGAAUGGAGCAAACAGGUGAUGGGACCUUCUUGAAGUCACUCUUUGCUGAUCAAGUGAUGGGAUCGUCUUGAAGUCAUGCCAAUAAUGUGUUGAAACAAUGUCCUGUUGAAAACUUAUUAGUAUUAUCAGUGAAUGGUUGAAUGGUUGAAUGUU